CCUGUAAGGAAGGGAACCAAGUAAAAAGGUUGGAAAAGUCCCUGGUUUGUCUCCGUACAAGCUCGCCCGCUCCUGGUAGCGCGUCUAUUCGAGUUUUCUCCUCAGGCUCCACUGGUGCCUCCUCCUCAGACUUAUCUUUGUCAGGCUCCACCAACACCUCCCCCCAGUCUUUCACUCCUCAGGCUCCACCAACACCCCCCCCCAGUCUUUCACUCCUCAGGCUCCACUAAUACCUCCUCCUCGGCCAUCACCCAUAUCACCUCUUCAGGCUCGUCCUGAGCUUCCAAGGCUUUAUUCAGUGCCCGAGCCUCAGCCGAACCCAACUCCAACUAGCCGCAGCACUACUGAGGCAGCUGAAUAUACUAUACCUCCUGAGGCUUGGCAGGUGCCAGCCUUAUAUAACUACUGCACCAUCAAGAGGAUUUGUAGCACUCCUCUUAAAUUGAAUGCCCUGCAGCAGGCUUUUGCUAUCAUCCUCAGUGACUAUCAGUGCUGCAGUUAUAUCAGUGAGGAUCAGACCCUGUUCCCGAAGGCCUACGACCAACUUCUGGCAUUCACUGAGAACUCGUCACUUCGUUGAGUCAUUUCUGCUGAGCUGAUGCAGAUUGGAGUUCACAAUAUCUUGGUCACAAUAGCUUGGCAACCCUUUUACCAAAAUGAGCCAGGACACUAAUGUUUCUCAUGUUUCCCGAUUAAUUACUUCAACGUCAUCAAUGUUGUUUUUGAGGUGGUUGUGCUGGGCGUUCGAGGAGGAGCAAGGCCUCCCAUUUUUCCGAAUCCAGGAGGGUUUCUUGGCUGCUUAAUGGCCAUGCUCUUCACCUUCACCCCCACCAAGUUCAGAAAUUCCUGGUCUGAGCACUGCUUUUUCCUGCCCCAGGGCACCCAGAACUCGUUCUAAGUGUGGGGGCCAUCAGAUACCACCAAGGAAACCCACACAGACACGAGGAGAACAUGCAAACUCCAUACAGAAAGGACCCUGUUCGCCCGGCCAGAGAAUCAAACCCAGGCCCUUCCUGCUGUGUGCUGCCCUUGUCACAAAACUGUACUGCUGAAAUUCCUACCCCUGAUUUGUAUUUCUAUUAUAUUAUAAAUACAUUCAUAUUAAUGUUACCAAUAAUCUUAUCAUAAAUUUAGCAAAUAUUACCUUGCCUUCUGCAAGCCAUGUCGGUACAAUACUGGCUACCAUUUCCAGUCCAUUUUUAAUUUGAAGGUCCAUCUCAUGUGGGUUGUCAGUGAAAGGUCUUUUUAUUUUGACCGUGUGAUAUGCAGUUGUGACUAACUUGGUCAACUUAUAAUCAGGAUCACAUGGUAUGUCGAUAUCAUAGUAUAUCAGUAUAGAUAAUAUAUCUCCCAGCACUAUGAUAUAUGUGUGGCAUGGAGAAUCAUAGAAUUCCACUCCUUAGAAAAUACACUAUAUUCCAAAAGUAUUUACUCACACAUCCAAAUAAUUCAGGUGUUCCAAUCACUUCCAUGGC